UCAUUUUCUGGAAUGGGAACUUUGAAGUGUUUGAACAGUAGGGUAAAAAUCAUGCCAUAGGGUAUACUAAACCUAGAAUACCUAAGACAUAGAGCAAUGUAGUUCAACAUAAGUCUAGGGAGGUUUAGAGGAAUCCCUAGUAGGAUAUGGUGCAUGAUAACUAAAUCUCGCUCCGAAACAAAAUCGAAGCGACCGGUUUUAGGAAACAAGACCCGGUUGACAAUACUUAGAAGUAGUCUCUGUUGGGAACCCGCCCACGCCGCUGAUAUUUCAAAAAUUUUUCAGAUGGCAGCGGAAUCGGCAUGCACGGGAUCUACGUUCAUCGCAUGAACGUUGUUUCGAGACCUUUC
rnacentral:lncRNA from 1 species